rnacentral:rRNA from 1 species
UACAGAGGUCUCAAGCGUUGUUCGGAUUCAUUGGGCGUAAAGGGUGCGUAGGCGGCGCGUUAAGUCGGGUGUGAAAUUUCGAGGCUUAACUUCGAAACUGCAUUCGAUACUGCCGUGCUUGAGGACUGGAGAGGAGACUGGAAUUCAUGGUGUAGCAGUGAAAUGCGUAGAUAUCUGGAGGAACACCGGUGGCGAAGGCGGCUUCCUGGACCGGUAUUGACGCUGAGGCGCGAAAGCCAGGGGAGCAAACGGG